rnacentral:rRNA from 1 species
UACGUAGGGAGCGAGCGUUGUCCGGAUUCAUUGGGCGUAAAGAGCUCGUAGGCGGCUUGGUAAGUCGGAUGUGAAACCUCCAGGCUCAACCUGGAGUCGCCAUCCGAUACUGCCAUGGCUAGAGUCCGGUAGGGGCCCACGGAAUUCCUGGUGUAGCGGUGAAAUGCGCAGAUAUCAGGAGGAACACCGAUGGCGAAGGCGAGUCCCUGGACAACUCCUGACACUGAGGCACGAAAGCUAGGGGAGCAAACAGG